rnacentral:rRNA from 1 species
CCUACGGGUGGCAGCAGUAGAGAAUAUUGCACAAUGGGGGAAACCCUGAAGCAGCGACGCCGCGUGGAGGAUGGAGGUUUUAGGGAUGGAAACUCCUUGUGAUAGAGAAGAAGAUGACGGUAUCUAACGAAUAAGCAGCGGCUAACUCCGUGCCAGCAGCCGCGGUAAUACGGAGGGAGCAAGCGUUACUCGGAAUCACUGGGCGUAAAGAGUGCGUGGGCGGGGUAAUAAGUCAGAUGUGAAAUCCUGUAGCUUAACUACAGAACUGCAUUUGAUACUGUUACUCUGGAGUGUGGGAGAGGUAGGUGGAAUUCUUGGUGUAGGGGUGAAAUCCGUAGAGAUCAAGAGGAAUACUCAUUGCGAAGGCGACCUGCUGGACCAUUACUGACGCUGAUGCACGAAAGCGUGGGGAGCAAACAGGAUUAGAUACCCGGGUAGUC